rnacentral:rRNA from 1 species
UAGAGUUUGAUCCUGGCUCAGGAUGAACGCUAGCGGCAGGCUUAACACAUGCAAGUCGAGGGGUAACAGGAAUAGCUUGCUAUUUGCUGACGACCGGCGCACGGGUGCGUAACGCGUAUAGAACCUACCUUUUACAGGGGAAUAGCCCAGAGAAAUUUGGAUUAAUGCCCCAUAGUAUUAUUGAAUGGCAUCAUUUAAUAAUUAAACAUUUAUGGGUAAAAGAUGGCUAUGCGUUCUAUUAGCUAGUAGGUAAGGUAACGGCUUACCUAGGCAACGAUAGAUAGGGGUCCUGAGAGGGAGAUCCCCCACACUGGUACUGAGACACGGACCAGACUCCUACGGGAGGCAGCAGUGAGGAAUAUUGGGCAAUGGAGGCAACUCUGACCCAGCCAUGCCGCGGGCAGGAAGACGGCCCUAUGGGUCGUAAACUGCUUUUAUACAGGAAGAAACCUUGGUACGUGUACCAAGCUGACGGGUACUGUAAGAAUAAGCA